UCAAUGGAGAGUUUGAUCCUGGCUCAGGACGAACGCUGGCGGCGUGCUUAACACAUGCAAGUCGAACGAUGAACCAGAGCUUGCUCUGGGGAUUAGUGGCGAACGGGUGAGUAACACGUGGGCAACCUGCCCCUAACUCUGGGAUAACUCCUCGAAAGAGGUGCUAAUACCGGAUAUGAACUAGGAAGACAUCUUCUUGGUUGGAAAGUUUUUCGGUUAGGGAUGGGCCCGCGGCCUAUCAGCUUGUUGGUGAGGUAACGGCUCACCAAGGCGACGACGGGUAGCCGGCCUGAGAGGGCGACCGGCCACACUGGGACUGAGACACGGC
rnacentral:rRNA from 1 species